UACGUAGGCAGCGAGCGUUGUUCGGAUUCAUUGGGCGUAAAGGGUGCGUAGGCGGCGCGGUAAGUCGGGUGUGAAAUCUCGGAGCUUAACUCCGAAACUGCAUUCGAUACUGCCGUGCUUGAGGACUGGAGAGGAGACUGGAAUUUACGGUGUAGCGGUGAAAUGCGUAGAUAUCGUAAGGAAGACCGGUGGCGAAGGCGGGUCUCUGGACAGUUCCUGACGCUGAGGCACGAAGGCCAGGGGAGCAAACGGG
rnacentral:rRNA from 1 species